GACGAACGCUGGCGGCGUGCUUAACACAUGCAAGUCGAACGGAAAGGCCCUGCUUUUGUGGGGUGCUCGAGUGGCGAACGGGUGAGUAACACGUGAGUAACCUGCCCUUGACUUUGGGAUAACUUCAGGAAACUGGGGCUAAUACCGGAUAGGAGCUCCUGCUGCAUGGUGGGGGUUGGAAAGUUUCGGCGGUUGGGGAUGGACUCGCGGCUUAUCAGCUUGUUGGUGGGGUAGUGGCUUACCAAGGCUUUGACGGGUAGCCGGCCUGAGAGGGUGACCGGCCACAUUGGGACUGAGAUACGGCCCAGAGUCCUACGGGAGGCAGCAGUGGGGAAUAGUGCACAAUGGGCGGAAGCCUGAUGCAGCAACGCCGCGUGCGGGAUGACGGCCUUCGGGUUGUAAACCGCUUUCGCCUGUGACGAAGCGUGAGUGACGGUAAUGGGUAAAGAAGCACCGGCUAACUACGUG
rnacentral:rRNA from 1 species